GACGAACGCUGGCGGCGUGCCUAAUACAUGCAAGUUGAGCGAUGAAGAUUGGUGCUUGCACCAAUUUGCAGAGCAGCGAACGGGUGAGUAACGCGUGGGGAAUCUGCCUUUGAGCGGGGGACAACAUUUGGAAACGAAUGCUAAUACCGCAUAACAACUUUAAACAUAAGUUUUAAGUUUGAAAGAUGCAAUUGCAUCACUCAAAGAUGAUCCCGCGUUGUAUUAGCUAGUUGGUGAGGUAAAGGCUCACCAAGGCGAUGAUACAUAGCCGACCUGAGAGGGUGAUAGGCCACAUUGGGACGGGGACACGGCCAAAACUCCUACGAGAGGCAGCAGUAGGGAAUCUUCGGCAAUGGACGAAAGUCUGACCGAGCAACGCCGCGUGAGUGAAGAAGGUUUUCGGAUCGUAAAACUCUGUUGGUAGAGAAGAACGUUGGUGAGAGUGGAAAGCGCAUCAAGUGACGGUAACUACCCAGAAAGGGACGGCUAACUACGUG
rnacentral:rRNA from 1 species